AGGGGUAACAGGGAGCUUGCUCCGCUGACGACCGGCGCACGGGUGCGUAACGCGUAUAGAACCUACCUUUUACUGGGGGAUAGCCUUUAGAAAUGAAGAUUAAUACCCCAUAGUAUUGCGAUUUGGCAUCGAAUUGCAAUUAAAGAUUUAUUGGUAAAAGAUGGCUAUGCGUCCUAUUAGCUAGAUGGUAAGGUAACGGCUUACCAUGGCAACGAUAGGUAGGGGCCCUGAGAGGGGGAUCCCCCACACUGGUACUGAGACACGGACCAGACUCCUACGGGAGGCAGCAGUGAGGAAUAUUGGGCAAUGGAGGCAACUCUGACCCAGCCAUGCCGCGUGCAGGAAGACUGCCCUAUGGGUUGUAAACUGCUUUUAUACGGGAAGAAACACCACUACGUGUAGUGGCUUGACGGUACCGUAAGAAUAAGCACCGGCUAACUCCGUGCCAGCAGCCGCGGUAAUACGGAGGGUGCAAGCGUUAUCCGGAAUCAUUGGGUUUAAAGGGUCCGCAGGCGGUCAAUUAAGUCAGAGGUGAAAUCCCAUAGCUUAACUAUGGAACUGCCUUUGAUACUGGUUGACUUGAGUUAUACGGAAGUAGAUAGAAUAAGUAGUGUAGCGGUGAAAUGCAUAGAUAUUACUUAGAAUACCGAU
rnacentral:rRNA from 1 species